rnacentral:rRNA from 1 species
GGGUUGUGAGGUUAAGCGACUAAGCGUACACGGUGGAUGCCCUGGCAGUCAGAGGCGAUGAAGGACGUGCUAAUCUGCGAAAAGCGCCGGCGAGGUGAUAUGAACCUUUGACCCGGCGAUGUCCGAAUGGGGAAACCCAGUGCAAUUCGUUGCACUAUCGUUUGAUGAAUACAUAGUCAAACGAGGCGAACCGGGGGAACUGAAACAUCUAAGUACCCCGAGGAAAAGAAAUCAACCGAGAUUCCCCCAGUAGCGGCGAGCGAACGGGGAGCAGCCCAGAGCCUGAAUCAGCUUGUGUGUUAGUGGAAGCGUCUGGAAAGUCGCGCGAUACAGGGUGACAGCCCCGUACACGAAAGCACACAGGCUGUGAGCUCGAUGAGUAGGGCGGGACACGUGGUAUCCUGUCUGAAUAUGGGGGGACCAUCCUCCAAGGCUAAAUACUCCUGACUGACCGAUAGUGAACCAGUACCGUGAGGGAAAGGCGAAAAGAACCCCGGCGAGGGGAGUGAAAAAGAACCUGAAACCGUGUACGUACAAGCAGUGGGAGCCUCUUAAUGGGGUGACUGCGUACCUUUUGUAUAAUGGGUCAGCGACUUAUAUUCUGUAGCAAGGUUAACCGAAUAGGGGAGCCGAAGGGAAACCGAGUCUUAACUGGGCGUUAAGUUGCAGGGUAUAGACCCGAAACCCGGUGAUCUAGCCAUGGGCAGGUUGAAGGUUGGGUAACACUAACUGGAGGACCGAACCGACUAAUGUUGAAAAAUUAGCGGAUGACUUGUGGCUGGGGGUGAAAGGCCAAUCAAACCGGGAGAUAGCUGGUUCUCCCCGAAAGCUAUUUAGGUAGCGCCUCGUGAAUUCAUCUCCGGGGGUAGAGCACUGUUUCGGCUAGGGGGCCAUCCCGGCUUACCAACCCGAUGCAAACUACGAAUACCGGAGAAUGUUAUCACGGGAGACACACGGCGGGUGCUAACGUCCGUCGUGAAGAGGGAAACAACCCAGACCGCCAGCUAAGGUCCCAAAGUCAUGGUUAAGUGGGAAACGAUGUGGGAAGGCACAGACAGCCAGGAUGUUGGCUUAGAAGCAGCCAUCAUUUAAAGAAAGCGUAAUAGCUCACUGGUCGAGUCGGCCUGCGCGGAAGAUGUAACGGGGCUAAACCAUGCACCGAAGCUGCGGCAGCGACACUAAGUGUUGUUGGGUAGGGGAGCGUUCUGUAAGCCUGCGAAGGUGUGCUGUGAGGCAUGCUGGAGGUAUCAGAAGUGCGAAUGCUGACAUAAGUAACGAUAAAGCGGGUGAAAAGCCCGCUCGCCGGAAGACCAAGGGUUCCUGUCCAACGUUAAUCGGGGCAGGGUGAGUCGACCCCUAAGGCGAGGCCGAAAGGCGUAGUCGAUGGGAAACAGGUUAAUAUUCCUGUACUUGGUGUUACUGCGAAGGGGGGACGGAGAAGGCUAUGUUAGCCGGGCGACGGUUGUCCCGGUUUAAGCAUGUAGGCUGGUUAUCCAGGCAAAUCCGGAUAAUCAAGGCUGAGGUGUGAUGACGAGUCACUACGGUGAUGAAGUAACAAAUGCCCUGCUUCCAGGAAAAGCCUCUAAGCAUCAGGUAACACGAAAUCGUACCCCAAACCGACACAGGUGGUCAGGUAGAGAAUACCAAGGCGCUUGAGAGAACUCGGGUGAAGGAACUAGGCAAAAUGGUGCCGUAACUUCGGGAGAAGGCACGCUGAUAUGUAGGUGAAGCCCCUGCGGGUGGAGCUGAAAUCAGUCGAAGAUACCAGCUGGCUGCAACUGUUUAUUAAAAACACAGCACUGUGCAAACACGAAAGUGGACGUAUACGGUGUGACGCCUGCCCGGUGCCGGAAGGUUAAUUGAUGGGGUUAUCCGUAAGGAGAAGCUCUUGAUCGAAGCCCCGGUAAACGGCGGCCGUAACUAUAACGGUCCUAAGGUAGCGAAAUUCCUUGUCGGGUAAGUUCCGACCUGCACGAAUGGCGUAAUGAUGGCCAGGCUGUCUCCACCCGAGACUCAGUGAAAUUGAACUCGCUGUGAAGAUGCAGUGUACCCGCGGCAAGACGGAAAGACCCCGUGAACCUUUACUAUAGCUUGACACUGAACAUUGAGCCUUGAUGUGUAGGAUAGGUGGGAGGCUUUGAAGUGUGGACGCCAGUCUGCAUGGAGCCAACCUUGAAAUACCACCCUUUAAUGUUUGAUGUUCUAACGUGGACCCGUGAUCCGGGUUGCGGACAGUGUCUGGUGGGUAGUUUGACUGGGGCGGUCUCCUCCCAAAGAGUAACGGAGGAGCACGAAGGUUGGCUAAUCCUGGUCGGACAUCAGGAGGUUAGUGCAAUGGCAUAAGCCAGCUUGACUGCGAGCGUGACGGCGCGAGCAGGUGCGAAAGCAGGUCAUAGUGAUCCGGUGGUUCUGAAUGGAAGGGCCAUCGCUCAACGGAUAAAAGGUACUCCGGGGAUAACAGGCUGAUACCGCCCAAGAGUUCAUAUCGACGGCGGUGUUUGGCACCUCGAUGUCGGCUCAUCACAUCCUGGGGCUGAAGUAGGUCCCAAGGGUAUGGCUGUUCGCCAUUUAAAGUGGUACGCGAGCUGGGUUUAGAACGUCGUGAGACAGUUCGGUCCCUAUCUGCCGUGGGCGCUGGAGAAUUGAGGGGGGCUGCUCCUAGUACGAGAGGACCGGAGUGGACGCAUCACUGGUGUUCGGGUUGUCAUGCCAAUGGCACUGCCCGGUAGCUACAUGCGGAAGAGAUAAGUGCUGAAAGCAUCUAAGCACGAAACUUGCCCCGAGAUGAGUUCUCCCUUGGGCUUUAAGUCCACUAAAGGAACGUUGAAGACGACGACGUUGAUAGGCCGGGUGUGUAAGCGCAGCGAUGCGUUGAGCUAACCGGUACUAAUGAACCGUGAGGCUUAACCUUACAACGCCGAAG